CACGUAGGGCGCAAGCGUUGUCCGGAAUUAUUGGGCGUAAAGAGCUCGUAGGCGGUCUGUUGCGUCCGCUGUGAAAACUGGGCUUAACCCCGAGCCUGCAGUGGAUACGGGCAGACUAGAGGUAGGUAGGGGAGAAUGGAAUUCCCGGUGUAGCGGUGAAAUGCGCAGAUAUCGGGGAGGAACACCGGUGGCGAAGGCGGUUCUCUGGGCCUU
rnacentral:rRNA from 1 species